UAGUCCUAGCCGUAAACGAUGAGCACUGGAUUGAAGGAAUUCCCAUAUUCUUUUGGUCGUACUGAAAAGUUAAGUGCUCCGCCUGGGGAGUAUGUCCGCAAGGAUGAAACUCAAAGGAAUUGACGGGGGCUCACACAAGCGGUGGAGGAUGUGGCUUAAUUCGAGGCUACGCGAAGAACCUUAUCCUGGUCUUGACAUGUAUGGAUUAACUCUGUGAAAGCAGAGCCACGCCCUCGGGUGGAACAUACACAGGUGCUGCAUGGCUGUCGUCAGCUCGUGUCGUGAGAUGUCGGGUUAAGUCCCUUAACGAGCGAAACCCUUAUUCCUAGUUGCCAGCGGGUAAUGCCGGGGACUCUAGGGAGACUGCCGAUGUUAAAUCGGAGGAAGGUGGGGAUGACGUCAAGUCGCAUGGCCCUUAUGACCAGGGCUGCACACGUCCUACAAUGGCACGGCACAAAGGGAAGUCAACCUCGCGAGAGCAAGCAAAUCCCAAAAAACGUAGCCUAGUUC
rnacentral:rRNA from 1 species